AGUCAGGUAAACUCCACCCAAACACGAUCCUGUUCUAGUGCCCUCCAUACCGUCAGGUAAACUCCACCCAAACACGAUCCUGUUCUAGUGCCCUCCAUACCGUCAGGUAAACUCCACCCAAACACGAUCCUGUUCUAGUGCCUUCCAUACCGUCAGGUAAACUCCACCCAAACACGAUCCUGUUCUAGUGCCCUCCAUACCGUCAGGUAAACUCCACCCAAACACGAUCCUGUUCUAGUGCCCUCCAUACCGUCAGGUAAACUCCACCCAAACACGAUCCUGUUCUAGUGCCUUCCAUACAGUCAGGUAAACUCCACCCAAACACGAUCCUGUUCUAGUGCCUUCCAUACAGUCAGGUAAACUCCACCCAAACACGAUCCUGUUCUAGUGCCCUCCAUACCGUCAGGUAAACUCCACCCAAACACGAUCCUGUUCUAGUGCCUUCCAUACAGUCAGGUAAACUCCACCCAAACACGAUCCUGUUCUAGUGCCCUCCAUACCGUCAGGUAAACUCCACCCAAACACGAUCCUGUUCUAGUGCCUUCCAUACAGUCAGGUAAACUCCACCCAAACACGAUCCUGUUCUAGUGCCCUCCAUACCGUCAGGUAAACUCCACCCAAACACGAUCCUGUUCUAGUGCCCUCCAUACCGUCAGGUAAACUCCACCCAAACACGAUCCUGUUCUAGUGCCUUCCAUACAGUCAGGUAAACUCCACCCAAACACGAUCCUGUUCUAGUGCCCUCCAUACCGUCAGGUAAACUCCACCCAAACACGAUCCUGUUCUAGUGCCUUCCAUACCGUCAGGUAAACUCCACCCAAACACGAUCCUGUUCUAGUGCCUUCCAUACAGUCAGGUAAACUCCACCCAAACACGAUCCUGUUCUAGUGCCCUCCAUACAGUCAGGUAAAUUCCACCCAAACACGAUCCUGUUCUAGUGCCCUCCAUACCGUCAGGUAAACUCCACCCAAACACGAUCCUGUUCUAGUGCCUUCCAUACAGUCAGGUAAACUCCACCCAAACACGAUCCUGUUCUAGUGCCUUCCAUACAGUCAGGUAAACUCCACCCAAACACGAUCCUGUUCUAGUGCCCUCCAUACCGUCAGGUAAACUCCACCCAAACACGAUCCUGUUCUAGUGCCUUCCAUACCGUCAGGUAAACUCCACCCAAACACGAUCCUGUUCUAGUGCCUUCCAUACCGUCAGGUAAACUCCACCCAAACACGAUCCUGUUCUAGUGCCCUCCAUACCGUCAGGUAAACUCCACCCAAACACGAUCCUGUUCUAGUGCCUUCCAUACCGUCAGGUAAACUCCACCCAAACACGAUCCUGUUCUAGUGCCUUCCAUACCGUCAGGUAAACUCCACCCAAACACGAUCCUGUUCUAGUGCCUUCCAUACAGUCAGGUAAACUCCACCCAAACACGAUCCUGUUCUAGUGCCUUCCAUACCGUCAGGUAAACUCCACCCAAACACGAUCCUGUUCUAGUGCCCUCCAUACCGUCAGGUAAACUCCACCCAAACACGAUCCUGUUCUAGUGCCUUCCAUACCGUCAGGUAAACUCCACCCAAACACGAUCCUGUUCUAGUGCCCUCCAUACCGUCAGGUAAACUCCACCCAAACACGAUCCUGUUCUAGUGCCUUCCAUACAGUCAGGUAAACUCCACCCAAACACGAUCCGAAGGGAUUUGUUUCACUA